CAAUACAGUCCCAGAGGCUUGUUGGGGGGACCAUACCAAGGACUCCUGGUGACAGCUAGCUGAAAGAGCUACCCGGAUUCAUAUCGCACUGCGGGAGGAAGUGAAGAUGUGUCUGGCUCUUGCUAAGUGAUGUGUUCUCAGGGAGAGGGUUGGGCUUCACAUGGAAGCUGUUCGUCUGAGCUGUCUUAUUGUGGGUGACAUAUUCCUGAUACAGCACGUCCUACUCGAGUAUGCGGAGAGUGGUAAUUUGACCCAUGGUUUAGACGAUGAGGAUUUUGUUCCAAAAUAAGCAUAAGAGAUCCCUAGAUCUGGGUAGUGUCAUAUAUAUAUAUAUAUAUGUAAACAUUCAUACACAUAGCUCAUAUAUUAUACAGCGCCAAGCCAAACCGCCUGACUCAAGUCAUCUUACUUACCCCUGCUAAAACAGGAACCAGCUCACUCACCCAGCAAUAAAACUACCCCCCCUCAGCUUUGUUGUCUCCCGACCCCAGGAAACAAAGACAUUCCAUCGCAUGAACACAUACACCCAGCCAUAAAAACUGCCCCUCUACCUCACGAACCCCUGACACAAACAUCUCCUAGUAUAAACACACAUCUCACCCCCUCUACUGGUCGGGAGCUCAGAGAACAAGACACUGCUGUGCACCAAUGGGGCUUCUGAUCUGGCUAGAGCAGGUCCGCCUCCAACCCUUUGGGACCAGUCAGAAGACCAACACGACAAGACUCCACCUACAUAUUCCAUGUAUAAAAUCUGCUGUGACCAAUGUCUAGGUCUCUUUUUCACCUGACUCCUUACCGAGUUAAAUGAACUAGAUCUGUGCACGUAAAACUGCAGGACGAGAUAUCUUUGACUCAUUAAAACUGCCUUUUGUUACAACUGAAAUCCACUCUGUCCAGUGUCCGUGAUUUGGUCUCAACUCUCCAGUAUUUGAACACCAACAGUAGACAGGAAGUUAGAGUAGAGGUUGGGAAGGAUCUCUCAAUGGAGUUUUAUGUAGACCAAAAUGAAGACUCUAACUACAGGACAGUCUAGGACUCUGAGCCAUUAUGGCAUAUAUCGGUGCAGGUUCCCAUAUUGAUCGUGGACACAGGUCAUAGCUCAUUUGGAGAGAGAGGGCUAUAUGAAUCCACUCGCCCAGUAUGGAAGAAGGUAGAGUAGAGUGAAGAUGAGAGUUUUUGAUUGUAAUCAGGAGAGAGGGAUGUAUUGCAUAAAGAUACGCUUAACCCUUUAAAUAGAAAUGAAGGAGGAUCUAGGGUUGUAGUAUGGAGAUGACCAGGUCUUGGUCGAAACCCUAGUACGGUUCUGGGUAGAGGAGUUUGGGCCGGUAUGGUAAAGCUGUUCACGAAGGCAGGAAUGCCAGAUAAUGACAGUUGUAUUGAUUUGCACUAUUUAAAUCCCCAGGUUCCUCCCUUUACAGUGACCGGAGGAGAUUAUUACCGUUUGGCCCGGUACAGUACUCUUGGGAAAUGAUGUCAGGGCGAGGUUUUACCAACAGAUUGGACAGGAUUAUGCUCCAUUGUAAUGCCUUUGACACUCAUUCAACACCAAGACAUGAAGUAUAGCCAAAUGGGAGAAAAGAGCUAUUCCAUCUGAGUCUCUUAUUGACUAAGUACACAUUGAUAACAUUGGGGUUCCAAGGGGGGUGCCAGAUGAGUCCAAGCAAGAAAUCAGAUCCUAGCAGGAUUAGAGUUAAGCAUUUCCGGGGGGUCUACUCUCAUAAGAACGUGGACUGGAUUAAUUAUAUUUAUGAUAAUCAACAGCGCUUUAACAAGUAUACCAGAGAUGCUAUUAAAGGUUUUGUAGAACAGACUGAAGCAACCAGCUGGAUGGCUUGGCAGAAUUGAAUUGCAUUAGAUAUGUUAAUGGCUGAAAAGGGAGAAGUAUGCGUGAUUAUCAGGACCAUGUUUGUGCUUACAUCCCAAAUAACACAGCUCCGGACAAAUCAGUGCCCGAAGCCUCAGCUGGUUUGACCACCCUGGCUCACGGGUUGGCAGAAACUCUGGGGUGGAUACUUCUCUGACUGAUUGGGUUUUGAUAAUACGUUUGGAAAAUGGAAAAAUGUUAUGAUCACUGUGUUAUGGGCUACAUUCACCUGUGUGACUGUUUUAAUUUUAGGGGGCUGUUGUCUAAUUCCCUGUGUAUGAGGCCUUUUUUCCAGGACUCUGGAGUAAUCUAUGACAAUAGAUGGUGCGGUGUGGGCCGAUUCCAGGUUCUGACCCGAGGAGGACUGAAUGCCUGACUACAGAACAAGUGGACGAAUCGGGAUAUUUUAUUUGUGGGGAAUUUAUAUUUGAUGAGACAAUUUUUGAUGUUUAGGGAGGCUAGGUUGUAUCCCAUCUCAAUAUUAGACUGUUUUUUAAUAAAGAUUGUAACGAAAAUCCGGAUAAGAAGAGUUAUAAUUCUGAUGUAGGUUUAAGGGUUAAAUUAAGGUUAAGGUUAGAUUUGAUUAAUGAUGGGUGAAGAGUCGGAUAAACAUUUAUAAUAAUGUUGGUUAUGUGUCUAUUCAUAUGAUAAUCUGAUAAACCUUUAUAAUAAGGUUAAUUAUAAGUCUAUUCGUAUGAUAAAUCUGAUAAACCUUAAUAAUAAGGUUAGUUAUAAGUUUGUUCAUAUUUUAUUUUUUAUGUUUGAUAAAAUUAGAUGUAGAUUUGAACGUAUAAUAUUUAAUCAAAGGGAGGAUUGUUGGAGGAAAUUAUAGUUGAAAUGACUAUGUAUACAUUCCAAUCAGAACUGACUACUCCAAAUGCUAUAAUGUACUGUACAUAUAUGAAUUUUCUCUUGCUCCCAUUCCCAAUUGUAUAUAAUAUAGUCAGGAGUUUAGUAAUAAUGACGGUCUGUUCCUUUGUACAAAUGAAUGAACUAUCUCCAGAUGGCAGGGACGGACUAUCUCCAGACUGUCAAGAAUGCUGAUUUACAGUGACUGACCUUGGCUUUAGGAGAGGAGGGAAGGCUCGAGAACUAUAGGGCCUCUCUACCGGUGUCAUAUGAAGAGAUAGAACAUUUAGGAAACGCUGACGUCAUUUUCAGUUUAUAACCUGUGGUAAAAUGUGUAUGUACCCAGUACUCUCUUGAAUUAAACGCUGUUACCUGACUUUUAAGACCGGGGCUCUGUCCAUUUCUUAUAGAAAUAUUGGGUCUUUACAAUCCCUUUAGAAUGCAUUGACAGAGUAAUAAUUCUGAUUGGGAAAUAAUACAGAGGAAUUUAGAAUUCCACUAACAGUUCUGUAUUUAUUUUCUUAGUCAACCUUGUGUUCUGUUUUGCUAUGUUCUUGAACGUAGCCCUUUUUCUUUGUGUUCUUGAACAUAGCCCUGUCUUUCAUUUUUCUUCAUUGAUUUCACCUGUGUUAGUUACUCACCUGGUCUCAUCAGCUCCUUAUUUAGUUCAGCUCAUUCUGUUUGUGCCUUUGUGAGGUAUUGUUGGUAUUGACUCUAUUAAGCCUUUUCCUAGCUCUGCCUGUUUGCCUACCUGUGUAUGACCAUUGCCUGUCUGUUACCACGAUUCCUGCCUUCUGCGAAGGCGAAAUAAACACCUAGAGACCUCUUGUGGCAUGUCUUGUGUCUUGUGAAU
ensembl:lncRNA